UAGAGUUUGAUCCUGGCUCAGAGUGAACGCUGGCGGCAGGCCUAACACAUGCAAGUCGAACGGCAGCACAGAGGAGCUUGCUCCUUGGGUGGCGAGUGGCGGACGGGUGAGGAAUACGUCGGAAUCUGCCUAUUUGUGGGGGAUAAUGUAGGGAAACUUACGCUAAUACCGCAUACGACCUACGGGUGAAAGUGGGGGACCGCAAGGCCUCACGCAGAUAGAUGAGCCGACGUCGGAUUAGCUAGUUGGCGGGGUAAAGGCCCACCAAGGCGACGAUCCGUAGCUGGUCUGAGAGGAUGAUCAGCCACACCGGAACUGAGACACGGUCCAGACUCCUACGGGAGGCAGCAGUGGGGAAUAUUGGACAAUGGGCGCAAGCCUGAUCCAGCCAUGCCGCGUGUGUGAAGAAGGCCUUCGGGUUGUAAAGCACUUUUGUCCGGAAAGAAAAGCUUA
rnacentral:rRNA from 1 species